rnacentral:rRNA from 1 species
UCAAGUGAAGAAGCGCAUACGGUGGAUGCCUUGGCAGUCAGAGGCGAUGAAAGACGUGGUAGCCUGCGAAAAGCUUCGGGGAGUCGGCAAACAGACUUUGAUCCGGAGAUCUCUGAAUGGGGGAACCCACCUAGGAUAACCUAGGUAUCUUGUACUGAAUCCAUAGGUGCAAGAGGCGAACCAGGGGAACUGAAACAUCUAAGUACCCUGAGGAAAAGAAAUCAACCGAGAUUCCCUUAGUAGUGGCGAGCGAACGGGGAUUAGCCCUUAAGCUUCAUUGAUUUUAGCGGAACGCUCUGGAAAGUGCGGCCAUAGUGGGUGAUAGCCCCGUACGCGAAAGGAUCUUUGAAGUGAAAUCGAGUAGGACGGAGCACGAGAAACUUUGUCUGAACAUGGGGGGACCAUCCUCCAAGGCUAAAUACUACUGACUGACCGAUAGUGAACCAGUACCGUGAGGAAAGGCGAAAAGAACCCCGGAGAGGGGAGUGAAAUAGAACCUGAAACCGUAUGCGUACAAGCAGUGGGAGCCUACUUGUUAGGUGACUGCGUACCUUUUGUAUAAUGGGUCAGCGACUUAUAUUCAGUGGCAAGCUUAACCGUAUAGGGUAGGCGUAGCGAAAGCGAGUCUUAAUAGGGCGUUUAGUCGCUGGGUAUAGACCCGAAACCGGGCGAUCUAUCCAUGAGCAGGUUGAAGGUUAGGUAACACUGACUGGAGGACCGAACCCACUCCCGUUGAAAAGGUAGGGGAUGACUUGUGGAUCGGAGUGAAAGGCUAAUCAAGCUCGGAGAUAGCUGGUUCUCCUCGAAAGCUAUUUAGGUAGCGCCUCAUGUAUCACUCUGGGGGGUAGAGCACUGUUUCGGCUAGGGGGUCAUCCCGACUUACCAAACCGAUGCAAACUCCGAAUACCCAGAAGUGCCGAGCAUGGGAGACACACGGCGGGUGCUAACGUCCGUCGUGAAAAGGGAAACAACCCAGACCGCCAGCUAAGGUCCCAAAGUUGUGGUUAAGUGGUAAACGAUGUGGGAAGGCUUAGACAGCUAGGAGGUUGGCUUAGAAGCAGCCAUCCUUUAAAGAAAGCGUAAUAGCUCACUAGUCGAGUCGGCCUGCGCGGAAGAUGUAACGGGGCUCAAACCACACACCGAAGCUGCGGGUGUCACGUAAGUGACGCGGUAGAGGAGCGUUCUGUAAGCCUGUGAAGGUGAGUUGAGAAGCUUGCUGGAGGUAUCAGAAGUGCGAAUGCUGACAUGAGUAACGACAAUGGGUGUGAAAAACACCCACGCCGAAAGACCAAGGGUUCCUGCGCAACGUUAAUCGACGCAGGGUUAGUCGGUUCCUAAGGCGAGGCUGAAAAGCGUAGUCGAUGGGAAACAGGUUAAUAUUCCUGUACUUCUGGUUACUGCGAUGGAGGGACGGAGAAGGCUAGGCCAGCUUGGCGUUGGUUGUCCAAGUUUAAGGUGGUAGGCUGAAAUCUUAGGUAAAUCCGGGGUUUCAAGGCCGAGAGCUGAUGACGAGUCGUCUUUUAGAUGACGAAGUGGUUGAUGCCAUGCUUCCAAGAAAAGCUUCUAAGCUUCAGGUAACCAGGAACCGUACCCCAAACCGACACAGGUGGUCGGGUAGAGAAUACCAAGGCGCUUGAGAGAACUCGGGUGAAGGAACUAGGCAAAAUGGCACCGUAACUUCGGGAGAAGGUGCGCCGGCUAGGGUGAAGGAUUUACUCCGUAAGCUCUGGCUGGUCGAAGAUACCAGGCCGCUGCGACUGUUUAUUAAAAACACAGCACUCUGCAAACACGAAAGUGGACGUAUAGGGUGUGACGCCUGCCCGGUGCCGGAAGGUUAAUUGAUGGGGUUAGCGCAAGCGAAGCUCUUGAUCGAAGCCCCGGUAAACGGCGGCCGUAACUAUAACGGUCCUAAGGUAGCGAAAUUCCUUGUCGGGUAAGUUCCGACCUGCACGAAUGGCGUAACGAUGGCGGCGCUGUCUCCACCCGAGACUCAGUGAAAUUGAAAUCGCUGUGAAGAUGCAGUGUAUCCGCGGCUAGACGGAAAGACCCCGUGAACCUUUACUGUAGCUUUGCACUGGACUUUGAGCCUGCUUGUGUAGGAUAGGUGGGAGGCUUUGAAGCGUGGACGCCAGUUCGCGUGGAGCCAUCCUUGAAAUACCACCCUGGCAUGCUUGAGGUUCUAACUCUGGUCCGUAAUCCGGAUCGAGGACAGUGUAUGGUGGGCAGUUUGACUGGGGCGGUCUCCUCCUAAAGAGUAACGGAGGAGUACGAAGGUGCGCUCAGACCGGUCGGAAAUCGGUCGCAGAGUAUAAAGGCAAAAGCGCGCUUGACUGCGAGACAGACACGUCGAGCAGGUACGAAAGUAGGUCUUAGUGAUCCGGUGGUUCUGUAUGGAAGGGCCAUCGCUCAACGGAUAAAAGGUACUCCGGGGAUAACAGGCUGAUACCGCCCAAGAGUUCAUAUCGACGGCGGUGUUUGGCACCUCGAUGUCGGCUCAUCACAUCCUGGGGCUGAAGCCGGUCCCAAGGGUAUGGCUGUUCGCCAUUUAAAGUGGUACGCGAGCUGGGUUUAGAACGUCGUGAGACAGUUCGGUCCCUAUCUGCCGUGGACGUUUGAGAUUUGAGAGGGGCUGCUCCUAGUACGAGAGGACCGGAGUGGACGAACCUCUGGUGUUCCGGUUGUCACGCCAGUGGCAUUGCCGGGUAGCUAUGUUCGGAAAAGAUAACCGCUGAAAGCAUCUAAGCGGGAAACUUGCCUCAAGAUGAGAUCUCACUGGGAACUUGAUUCCCCUGAAGGGCCGUCGAAGACUACGACGUUGAUAGGCUGGGUGUGUAAGCGUUGUGAGGCGUUGAGCUAACCAGUACUAAUUGCCCGUGAGGCUUGACCAU